rnacentral:rRNA from 1 species
AACGAACGCUGGCGGCAUGCCUAACACAUGCAGGUCGAACGAGACCUUCGGGUCUAGUGGCGCACGGGUGCGUAACGCGUGGGAACCUGCCCUUAGGUUCGGAAUAACUCCCCGAAAGGGGUGCUAAUACCGGAUAAUGUCUUCGGACCAAAGAUGUAUCGCCUUUGGAUGGGCCCGCGUUGGAUUAGCUAGUUGGUAGGGUACAAGCCUACCAAGGCGACGAUCCAUAGCUGGUCUGAGAGGAUGCUCAGCCACACUGGGACCGAGGCACGGCCCAGACUCCUACGGGAGGCAGCAGUGGGGAAUAUUGGACAAUGGGCGAAAGCCUGAUCCAGCAAUGCCGCGUGAGUGAUGAAGGCCUUAGGGUUGUAAAGCUCUUUUACCCGGGAUGAUAAUGACGGUACCGGGAGAAUAAGCUCCGGCUAACUCCGUG